UACGGGGGGGGCAAGCGUUGUUCGGAAUUACUGGGCGUAAAGGGCUCGUAGGCGGCCAACUAAGUCGGACGUGAAAUCCCCAGGCUCAACCUGGGAACUGCGUCCGAUACUGGAUGGCUUGAAUCCGGGAGAGGGAUGCAGAAUUCCAGGUGUAGCGGUGAAAUGCGCAGAUAUCAGGAGGAACACCAAUUGCGAAAGCAGCUCGCUGGGACGUUACUGACGCUGAGGCGCGAAAGCGUGGGGAGCAAACAGG
rnacentral:rRNA from 1 species